rnacentral:lncRNA from 1 species
GGGAGACUACUCGACCCACCCAACCGCUACAUGCCACAGAAAUAUGCAGCAUGGCUGCUAGAUACAGAAAAUGUGACGGAGUCACCAGAUACAGAUAUUUUGUGGCAGUGCCACCAAAACAGAUAUAUGUGGCAGGGCCACCAGAACAGAUAAUUUGUGGCAUAGCCACCAGGACACUUCCUCCAUAAUAUAACCCAUGUCCCCAU